ensembl:lncRNA
CCUUGCACUGCUCGUUGGCACCUGCUGGGAAAAUGGAACCAGUGGAAUGUCCUCAAACCAUAUCCCUGGGCUGGACCUGCUGGUGUUCUCCUGCUUCAUCCUCAGCAGCUUCAUCCUGAUGGCCCUGGACCACAGGCAGAGGAAGAGGACCAUAGACAUGCGUGUGAUCUCAGCGACGCGCAGAAGAUGAGGACCAUAGACGUGCGUGUGAUCUUCAGCGACGCGCAGAGGUUCUUCCUCCACAUGGACUUCUUCGCCACCUUCAUGUUUGGCCUGCUGUGGUUGGUCUUCCCUGAUUGGCUACUUGGGAGCCAGUACGUGAGCGGCUGUCAUGACGACCUGCCCCUGCCCUUGCACCUGACACGAGCCUUUGGAGCCAUGAUGGUGGGGGACAGCUUGGUCUCACUCACCUCACCCAACCCCCACGUGAGCAAAGACAGAGCAUCACUCUUCAGCAGCAGAGCUGUGGGUACCCUGGUACUGCUGAUGUAUCUGCUCCACUCCCACUUCAUCACGGCCUCCUGGACCUCUGGGCGGGUCUGGAUGGGUCUGCUGGGGGCUGGGAUCUGGGCUUGGUAACUCUGUCCUGGGAUACCUCGCCUCCAGAGGGCGCUCUCCCUCACAGAGAGUUCAGUAACAGCUGUGGGUAUAGAGAUCAUAUAUAAAUAAUGCGCGCGCGUGUGUGUGUGUGUGUGUGUGUGUGUGACCGUGAUAUGGUCAUUUGGGCAUUUUGACUUCUACGACAGUCAUGGCACAGCAGAGAAGAGGAGCAGAGAAGUUGAUUUUGGAGAAUAUCUUACAAUGUGUUGCACAUUAUCUUAGCCAUUGUGAUGCAGUACAACCCCAGCUAAAAUCUGGACCUUAUUCCUACCAGAAGGCCAGAUCCAAUUGAUUGUUGAGUGUCAGAUUCGGGUCAUGUCAGUGCCGGAUCAGGUUCAUAUCAGUGCCAAAUUAGGGCCAUAACUUUGCCAGAAUAUGGCCAUUUCAGUUCUGGAUCAGGGCCGUAUCUGUGCUGUAUCAGGGCCGUAUCUGUGCCGGAUCAGGGCCGUAUCAGUGCCGGAUCAGGGCCGUAUCAGUGCCGGAUCAGGGCCGUAUCUGUGCCGGAUCAGGGCCGUAUCUGUGUUGUAUCAGGGCCGUAUCAGGGCCGUAUCUGUUCUGGAUCAGGGCCUAUCUGUGCCUAAACCCCUCUAGAGUCCAGUCCCUCUAGUCUAGUGGGACUAGAUACGUUAGAGCGCUGUUCCUCCGUGCAACACAGGUAGCCCUUGCCUUUAUUUGGAUAUUAAGCUGCUAUUUUUCAGAAUGUGUAUGGUUGGUGGUUGUUUACAACCAUUCAUUUGUAAAUAUGUUCAAAGCUUGAAUUUGUGUUUAUUGCUAUAAGAUGAGUUUAUAUUAACAUAUGGUGUUACUGUGAUGAAGAGCCAUGUCAGAAAUGCUAUUUAAUUUGUAAGUAAUAAAGGAUGAUAUUCUUAUCA